rnacentral:rRNA from 1 species
GAUGAACGCUGGCGGCGUGCUUAACACAUGCAAGUCGAACGAAGCACUUUAUUUGAUUUCCUUCGGGACUGAUUAUUUUGUGACUGAGUGGCGGACGGGUGAGUAACGCGUGGGUAACCUGCCUUGUACAGGGGGAUAACAGUUGGAAACGGCUGCUAAUACCGCAUAAGCGCACGGCAUCGCAUGAUGCAGUGUGAAAAACUCCGGUGGUAUAAGAUGGACCCGCGUUGGAUUAGCUAGUUGGUGAGGUAACGGCCCACCAAGGCGACGAUCCAUAGCCGACCUGAGAGGGUGACCGGCCACAUUGGGACUGAGACACGGCCCAAACUCCUACGGGAGGCAGCAGUGGGGAAUAUUGCACAAUGGGCGAAAGCCUGAUGCAGCGACGCCGCGUGAGCGAAGAAGUAUUUCGGUAUGUAAAGCUCUAUCAGCAGGGAAGAUAAUGACGGGACCUGACUAAGAAGCACCGGCUAAAUACGU